CCUACGGGAGGCAGCAGUGAGGAAUAUUGGUCAAUGGACGAGAGUCUGAACCAGCCAAGUAGCGUGAAGGAUGACUGCCCUAUGGGUUGUAAACUUCUUUUAUAUGGGAAUAAAACGUUCCACGUGUGGGAUUUUGUAUGUACCAUAUGAAUAAGGAUCGGCUAACUCCGUGCCAGCAGCCGCGGUAAUACGGAGGAUCCGAGCGUUAUCCGGAUUUAUUGGGUUUAACGGGAGCGUAGGUGGAUUGUUAAGUCAGUUGUGAAAGUUUGCGGCUCAACCGUAAAAUUGCAGUUGAAACUGGCAGUCUUGAGUACAGUAGAGGUGGGCGGAAUUCGUGGUGUAGCGGUGAAAUGCUUAGAUAUCACGAAGAACUCCGAUUGCGAAGGCAGUUCACUGGACUGCAACUGACACUGAGGCUCGAAAGUGUGGGUAUCAAACAGGAUUAGAUACCCCUGUAGUC
rnacentral:rRNA from 1 species